AAUCAGAUGAGGGAAGAGAGGAGUCCAGAGGAAAUGAACACAGACGCUUGGCCACGUGGGAUCCAGGUUCUGACUUAUCCCUGCAAAAUACCAAAGAACCCGAGGUAAUUAAAAUAAACAGCAAUAGAGAAACAAACAAAAGCAGCAGCUGAGACUAUGGUGCCCACAGGGGUUGGAAGGAUUUUUAUGCCAAGGCUAAACCGGGUCCAGUGCCAGCACUCAGACCUCAAAGACAGCUGCCUCCUGGAGUCACUGCUCUGUUAACAGGCUCUACAGGAAUCAAGUCUGUUACACUAUGAAGCCCAGGAAAACUAUCUUAAUUUGCUGCACCCAUGGGAGCUGACAGAUUGUAGUGCAAUAAAGUCAAUUUAACAUAUAGCUUCA
rnacentral:lncRNA from 1 species